AGGAGCGUCAGAGAGGAAAUGUGAUACUACAGGCAGAGCUCAGAGAGGAGACAGGUGCUACACGGCUGGCUUUGAAGAUGGAGACGGGGCUGCCAGCCAGGAGCCUCCCGGAGGAACGCAGCCCUGUUAGCACCUUAAUGGGCCCGGUGAGCCCCAGUUUGGACUUUUGGCCUCCAGAACUGAAGAAGAUGAGCUCUGUGAGGCUGGGCUGCCCGUCUCCUGUUUCUUUGCUUCCCUGGCUGCUACCCCUCUUUCCGAUGCCCAGCCCCACGCUGGGCACCUUGCUGGCGCUUGGGACACCAUCACGCUGCAAUGUCGUAUCUGAAAGCAUUUCCCUUCAGUAAAGCCCGAUCCAAGUCUUGGCGUUCAGGAACGGGAGUUGUUGGAAAGGACCAGAAGAGCCCGGAGGGAUGACUGGCUUGGAGCCUGGGAGCCCCGGCUUCAGAUCCGGGCUGUGCCGCU